UGAGGAAUUUUGGGCAAUGGGGGAAACCCUGAUGCAGCGACGCCGCGUGAAGGAAGAAGUAUCUCGGUAUGUAAACUUCUAUCAGCAGGGAAGAUAGUGACGGUACCUGACUAAGAAGCCCCGGCUAACUACGUGCCAGCAGCCGCGGUAAUACGUAGGGGGCAAGCGUUAUCCGGAUUUACUGGGUGUAAAGGGAGCGUAGGUGGUUCGGUAAGUCAGAUGUGAAAGCCCGGGGCUCAACCCCGGGACUGCAUUUGAAACUAUCGGACUAGAGUGUAGGAGAGGUAAGUGGAAUUCCUAGUGUAGCGGUGAAAUGCGUAGAUAUUAGGAGGAACACCAGUGGCGAAGGCGGCUUACUGGACUAUAACUGACACUGAGGCUCGAAAGCGUGGGGAGCAAACA
rnacentral:rRNA from 1 species